UGCAUCGUAUGUAAGGCUCAUCGGUUUUGAUGUAGGCCCAAUAGUCAUACCACCACGCACCUUUUUUUCUUCCAAGAAAAACAACCUGUUUCCCUUGAAAAAAUACAAUGCACUAUGCUCUUAUCUCGUUAGAUCCCCCACCAGGUUCCUCUCAUCCACAAGCGCCAUUUCUUUCGAUUUGCUGCGAGCGAUUGAAAGAUGUCGUUGCUGGCAUCAAGUAAUCGAUCCCCAUGCUAUCCUGAAUCUAGUUGCCACUUAUUUUCUUUGAAUUUCUCUUCCUUGGGUGGUGGCUUAGGUCUCCGGAUGAGUGCGUGCAUGCGUUUGAUGCAGUCUCUACGGGUGCGGAUCCUCACUUACCUCGUUGACACUGGCAACACGGCUACGGUGAGCGCCAGGCAGAAAGCGCCGGCUGUGCUGCUCAACCUCGUCUAGCGGCCGUGGCAGAGAUGCUGAAGGUUGGGGGCGCGGAGGAGACGGUGGGGGAUCUCACGGAGGAUGGGACGCCGGUUCGUGUAUUUGCAGAACGAAAUCGUGCUACUGACUUACUGAGUUGUUACCCUCCACAUUUGUCGUGCUGUCGGACUCAUACUAAAUUGUGGUCUUCUUUUUUGCAAAAAAAAAGCGACAACAUCUGACCUUUGUACUCUUGGUCUUCCAGCCUUUUUUUUACUUUGCUCCAGCAGAUUUCCUGUUCUUGCGGACAUCUUUUCCCUUCCUUUCUGUCAUACUUGCCACAUUUCAUUCUUCCUCUUGAGUCAUUUGAUAGUACAAUAGAUCUCAGUCUCCUCUUUUUGUCACUUUGUAGUUCACAUGAUGAUAACAGUUGGUCGCGGUGCCCAUCUUUGUUUACUGUAGCCCCAUUUCUAUCAUGUGGUUCCUCUUUCGCAAGCACCAGUUCACAUGACAUUUUGGUGAGAAGACAUUGGGCGUGGCGUCGUCCAACUUCAAGUUACGUAUUACUCCCUCCUUUUUGGUUUAUAGGGCUUAUCUCAAAAUUUUAGUUUUUCCAUUUUAUAAGGCUCAAUUUGGUUGUUUUCCAUCACAUGUUCAGAUUCCAAGGUGCAUUAAAUCAUUGCAUGCAAGUAUUAAGAGAAAAUUGACCAAUGCAUGUACUUUAUGCAUGCAUGCAUUGCAAUUUAUGCAUUGAUAAACAUAAUGUUUUGAGGAAAACAAGUGCAUUAAUUAGGUGCUUUUGCAAACUACAAAAAGUAUUCCACCAUUCAUCAUCUACCUUGGUUGGUGAGAUUUUUGAAUUGAGCCCUAUAAACCGAAAAGGAGGGAGUAUGUGAAUCUGUUGGAUGUGGUAGUCAUGGAGUGUCAGUUCUUGUUGACUUCAAUAUUUGUCGGUGUCGAGUUGAGCGUCAAGUCGCCCGUUGCUUCCUAUUACCAGCUAACUUUGUUUUAUUUGUGGUGUCAAGACUCAGGCAUCAAUUUUCUCAUUGUGUCUAGCACUGGCUCACUUUGAUUCUCCUGUUUUUGGUAGAUUCUUGGGCGUGUGCUAUACGUGGUCAGCUAAUAAUUGUCGAACUUGAUGAUUCAGGUGAGAAGACAUUGGGCACCGUCUGACUUUGAGUUUUCGUGCCACAUGAAGCAGUUGGAUGUGGUAGUUGUGCAGUGGCAGUUCUUGCUAACUUCGAUAUUUGUCGGUGUCGAGUUGAGCAGCGAGUCUCCCAUUGCAUCAUCGUACCAGCUUCAUUUUUUCUUGGUGGUGUCAAGACUCAGGCAUUGAUUUCGUCCCACUGGUUAUGUCCGUGUCGAGUUGAGCGGCAAGUCUCCCAUUGCAUCAUCGUACCAUCUUCAUUUUUCUUUGUGGUGUCAAGACUCAGGCAUUGAUUUCGACCCACUUGCUCCCUUCAAUUUCUUGUUUUUGGCUGAUUUAUUGGGCAUGUGUUUUAUGUGGACGACUGGUCUUGUUUAUAUUGGUUGAUGUGGCUAACACCGUGUUGAGUCCUGAUCCUAUAUUUGUCUUGCAUGCAUCUGUCCGGUUUUGGAUUGUCAGCAUGUGAGUUGUACUUACGUAUCCUUAUAUGCUUGGAUAUCCUUAUUUGUUGACCCAUCAUUGAGAAAGAAAACUAUUAUUUGGAUC